rnacentral:lncRNA from 1 species
AGAAGCUGUCCUGCUGCUGGAUUUUCCACACUUCAGCCCAUGCACUUUCCAUCUUCUUUUUCCCCUCUAUACAAGUGGAUUUCUCAUCCCUGCUCCAAGACUAAAGUGAUCCUCUGAGCCAGAGCCAUGUGCAAGAUCAGAAUGAAAGCUGAAGCCAGGAAACCUUCCUUGGGUUCAGGUUUCACGACAAGCCUGAAACUUGUUCCUGAGGGAGGUUUCCAUAUCUUUGGGGGGGGGGAAGGCUUUCUGGAUUUUGAGUUGUUACAGGAUGCCCCAAAUAAGGGGGAAAAAAAGUUAACAAGCAGAAGAAAACACAGUUUUAAUAGAGAUGUUUGAUAUUUUUUGACUGGAAAAAAUUCCCUUUGAAAAACACAGCUGUUGGAAAUAAUUGUUGUCGCCCCCCCCCCCCCACAAUGUAGGGGAUUUUUUUUAACUAGCAUUUUGCAUUUUUUUAUAUACUUCUCAACGGAAACUCUUCUGCAGUAGAUAACUUUCUUUAAUCUCAGUUUUCAAGAAGAAAAGGCUCUCUCAGAAUCCCAGUUCAAAGAGAGCUCUACGAGCUGAAACAAAAUUUUUCAUUCUGCCUUGAAACAUCCAGCCAGAAGAAGUGUUUCAGAGAAGUACUUCCAUUCAGAAGUUCUGAACAGGAAAGAAAAUGGUUCCUGGCUAGCUCUGCUGACCUAGACACAGCUCUGUCCUCCUCUGUGUGGGCUCCUAGCCAUGGGGCUUUGAGGGGCAAGUUCCUGGGCAUGGCCCCUACCCAGGACAUCACCUCAAGCUCUCAUCAGUGCUCUCCCCAUUUCUGUAACAGAAUGCUGCCUGAAGAACAGCUGGAAAGCUCCAGGUCUCUCUGCAAGGCACAGAUAAUGAACUGCACUGCUGCAGAUGCCAGACGGGACAGUGGUGCAAGGUACAGACAAGUGCUGGAGACUCACAGAAAUGAAGCAACUCCCCUGCUCCUCACAAAAUGAUGUGGUGGUGCCAGUAGCUGCUGACACUUACUCUGCUACUGCUUCAGCUGCAGGAAAACUGGGCACAGGUCAGACUUGCUGCCAUCCAUCCUUGUAGCUGGAGUUGGAGAUUUUCGAGCCACAGGAUGCUCAGGGAUGUGAGGUGCCUCAGUGCUCCUUUUACUAGUUUAUCUCUAAGCUGUCUUCAAACCUCCUUGAAAGCUAACAUCAUCCAUGGGCAAUCAGGAUCUCAGAGCAGAGAGGGCUGCUACCGAGUCUUGAGCAACACAGGGAGGAAAGUCUGCCAGCACUCCUCCAACCUUCAGCAGCCACUCCAGACACAAGCCAAAGGCAGGAGAUGCAGCAGGGAAUCAAUACCUUGCUUGAAAGAUUUAACACUUAUUUCUACCAAGCCUGGAAUUGUCAGCUGAGAUUUUCUCUACAGGAUAUUCCACUGAUAUGGAUUCUCCCUUUAGUACAAACACUUCCUGUGACUGAUUCAAAAUGCAGAUCCAAACUUUGCAUCUGAGGACACUCUUGCUAUUUGAAAUAUCAAGAAUAGAAUAUAUUCUGAGCAGAACUGCUCAGAAAUAACAGAAAGAAGCUAUCCAUUGGACUUCGGCACAUUUUAGAAAAGCCACUGUAGGAAUGUGACACUGAGGCCUACAGUAUCAAAAUUCAAGGCAUGAUGAGAAGUUUGA